CUCUGAGGCGCGAAUUCCGACAGUGAGAGGAACGGCUGGAUACAGGAGACGGGAAGAAACAAGCCGAUUAUGUUCGCGUUAAUUAAGUGGUUGGAAGAUGUAAAAUUCUCAAUUCUGCCAACUGAACAUAUACGAGAUUUUAAUGAGGAUGAAUAAUUAGCCGGCAUGGAGGAAACGGACCUUUAUUUGGUGGAGUGGCGACAAGAAGCCAAAAGGCGGGUGGCCGGUCUAUGAAGCCUCCAUCAUCAAGCUAGCAGCCCAUGAAAUCGAACGCAGAUCUUCCUGAUGUGAGAUUUACAUAAAUAUGUCAAAGUCUCAACCUCAUGCUGCCCUCCCCCAUCCUCCUAAACCUGUGGAUACAAAUGCAGAUUUCCUUAAUGUUCAAUGGUGCGUGUUCUUCUAAUGGCCGCCUUCCCACUGGAGGUUUUGAUCCACAGCAAUUUAAAAGGUAAACAGCUUUGAAAGUCAGUUCAAAUGGUUAGCUAAUAGUAUUCUAAAAAGCCUACAACUCUGUCACCAGUUUCUUUACCAAAAAGUACCCAUAAAAGUAUCUCUCAAUAGCAUAUCAUUGUAGCUCAAAUGUUUAGUUGUACAAAUAUCAGAUUUUUGGAAAUCUAAAACUAGUCAAACACUCAAAU